UACGUAGGAUCCGAGCGUUAUCCGGAUUUAUUGGGUUUAAAGGGAGCGUAGGUGGAUUGUUAAGUCAGUUGUGAAAGUUUGCGGCUCAACCGUAAAAUUGCAGUUGAAACUGGCAGUCUUGAGUACAGUAGAGGUGGGCGGAAUUCGUGGUGUAGCGGUGAAAUGCUUAGAUAUCACGAAGAACUCCGAUUGCGAAGGCAGCUCACUGGACUGCAACUGACACCGAGGCUCGAAAGUGUGGGUAUCAAACAGG
rnacentral:rRNA from 1 species